UGGGGGAAUAUUGGGCAAUGGGGGGAAACCCUGACCCAGCAACGCCGCGUGAAGGAAGAAGGCUUUCGGGUUGUAAACUUCUUUUACCAGGGACGAAGAACGUGACGGUACCUGGAGAAAAAGCCACGGCUAACUACGUGCCAGCAGCCGCGGUAAUACGUAGGUGGCGAGCGUUAUCCGGAAUUACUGGGUGUAAAGGGUGUGUAGGCGGGCUAGCAAGUCAGAUGUGAAAACUAAGGGCCUAACCCUUAGCCUGCAUUUGAAACUGUUGGUCUUGAGAGUGGGAGAGGUAAACGGAAUUCCCGGUGUAGCAGUGAAAUGCGUAGAUAUCGGGAGGAACAUCGGUGGCGAAGGCAGUUUACUGGACCAUUACUGAC
rnacentral:rRNA from 1 species